UGGCUCUCGCAUCGAUGAAGAACGCAGCGAAAUGCGAUACGUAAUGUGAAUUGCAGAAUUCCGUGAAUCAUCGAAUCUUUGAACGCACCUUGCGCCCCUUGGUAUUCCGAGGGGCAUGCCUGUUUGAGUGUCAUUGUACUAUCUCAACUUUUGACUUUGGAUGUUCCAAGGUCGGAGCGUGGAUGUUGGAGGUGUUGCUGGCCGCUUGUAGGUCAGCUCCUCUGAAAAGUAUUAGCAAAAGGGAAAUGCAACGAUCCCCGCAUCUCAUGCUUCUGGCAUUGAUAGUUGUCUAUGCCUCUGUGUGGCUGAAAUGCUUUAUGGGAUUGCUGAGUGUCUUUUUUUGCUCACAGUUGUCGUAGGACACCCCUUUGACCAAUCACCUCAAAUCAGGUAGGACUACCCGCUGA
rnacentral:misc_RNA from 1 species